GGACAGGCCGAACCAUGUGGGCCGGCCCAUUUGGAAUUACAUUGCCUUUCUCAGAUAUUUUAUUCAACCCCUUAUCCGCACACUGCACAGCAAAUUAAUCGUCUUCCUUUUCCCAUUCCCCCCUUCCGAGGAGCAAGGCAGGCAGGCUGCAAUGGCCGCGCAAGCCAUCUCCCUCUCGCUCCCCACGCCGCCAACCCACCGCCACCACGCCCCACCACACCAUGUGAAACCUCCGCCUCCGUCGCUCCAGCACGCCCGCGCUCCGCCGCCUCACCUCCUCAAGGUCAGCGAGGAGCUGCGAGGCGUGGAUUCCUUCCGCGACGGGCGGCUCCUGGUCUCCCUUCUGCGACAGUGCGCCGAGCUCCUCCGCGGCGCCCAGGACGCCGAAUGCGUGGCCGUAUCCCGGCGUCUCGCGCCGCAGCUGCACUCGCUGGCCGUCCGCGCGGGGCGCGCGCGGGACCCGCACGUCGCGUGCGCGCUCGUCGACCUCCUCGCGCGGCUGGGCCGCGGGGCGUCGAGCCGCCGGCUGCUCGAGGAGGCGGCGGGUGCGGAGGACGGCAAGGACGCGGUGCUGUGGAACAAGCACGUCGCCAUGCUCGCCGAGGCGGAGGAGUGGGGCGAGGCGAUCGCCGUGUUCGGGGAGAUGCAGGCGCGCGGGGUGCCCGCCGACGGGUACGCGUGCGCGCGGGUGCUCCACGCGUGCGGCCGCGCGGGGGCGCUGCGCGAGGGGAAGGCCGUGCACGCGCACGCGGUCAAGGCGGGGCACGUCGACGCGCACCCGCUCGUGCCCGGGUUCCUCGCCGGCAUGUACGCCGAGAACGCGGACGUGGCCGCGGCCACGCGGGUGCUCGAGACGACGGAGGCCGCGGCGGUCGCGUGGAACGCGGUGCUCGCCUGCUGCGCGCGGCUCGGGCUCGUGGACGACGCGCUGGAGCUCGCGGAGCGCAUGGCGUGGUCGGGGCAGGAGCCCAGCUUGGCGACAUGGAACACCGUGCUGUCCGGCUGCUCGCGUCACGGGCGCGACCGGGAAGCAUUUGGCGUUGUUCGGAGCAUGCUGGAGCAAGGGCUGCUGCCGAACUCCAGCACGAUGUCGAGCCUUCUCAAGUCUGUGGCCAAUUUGGGGCAGCUUGCGCAUGGCAUGGAAGCCCAUUGCUUCUUCCUGAGGCACCAACUCGAGCCGGACGUGUACACUGGGACAGCGUUCGUUGACAUGUACGCGAAAUGUGGCCGGCUUGAUUACGCCCAGAAGGUGUUCGAUGCGCUGGAGCUUAGAAACAUGACCACAUGGAACUCGCUGGUUUCAGGGUACGCAAAUGCUGGUCAGUUUGACAAUGCACUGAAGCUUGUGGAGGAGAUGAAGAUGAGUAGGCUUGAUCCAGAUAUAACCACUUGGAAUGGCCUGAUCACCGGUUACUCGAUGAACGGACUGAGUUCGCAGGCGGUGCUGCUGCUCCGGCAGAUCAAAGCAAUCGGGUUGACUCCCAAUGUGGUUUCUUGGACUUCAUUGAUCUCCGGGAGCUGCCAUAAUGGGGAUUAUGAAGAUUCGUUCUACUUCUUCAAUGAGAUGCAGAAGGACGACGUCCAGCCCAGCUUAGUUACCAUGUCAGUCUUGCUACGGGCUUGUGCAGGGCUCGCUCUGCUAAAGAAAGGCAAGGAGAUGCACUGUUUUGCGCUGCGAAGAGCGUAUGAUCAUGACAUGGUUGUUAGAACAGCGCUAAUUGACAUGUACUCAAAGGCAGGAAGCUUAACGAGUGCAAAGCGGAUAUUUGAAAGUAUUCAGAAGAAUAAUUUGGUGUCUUGCAAUGCAAUGUUGACUGGGCUGGCGGUCCAUGGGCAAGGCCAUGAGGCAAUAGCGCUGUUCCACGACAUGUGUAAUUCAGGAUUGAAGCCAGACAGUAUAACCUUCACAGCUCUGCUUACUGCUUGCAGAUCAAUGGAAUUGAUUACUGAAGGGUGGGAAUAUUUUGAUAGCAUGGAAAGCAGAUAUGGUGUGACACCUACAGUCGAGAACUAUGCCUGCAUGGUUGACCUGCUGUCAAGGUGCGGUUACCUGGAUGAAGCAUUGGACUUCAUUAAGAAGUCACCAUUCAAGUCAGCGGCAAGCUUAUGGGGAGCCCUUCUAACAGGUUGCACAGUACAUGGGAAUCUUGCUCUUGCCGAAGUGGCUGCGAGAAAAUUGUUCAAACUAGAGCCGUACAAUUCAGCCAACUACUUGCAGAUGGUGAGUUUGUAUGAACAUGAACAGAUGUUUGAUGAAGCUGAGAGCCUGAAGUAUGCAAUGAAAGCAAGAGAAUUGGAUAGUCGACCUGGGUGGAGCUGGAUACAGAUUGAACAAAGUAUCCAUGUAUUUGAAGUCGAGGGGAAGCCACAUCCGGAUACUGCAGAAAUAUAUGAAGAGCUGAUUCGUUUGUUUUUUCAGAUCAGAAAGGCAGGAUAUGUGCCAGACACCAGCUGCAUAGUAUAUAACGUUCCAGAAGAAGAGAAGGAGAAGCUACUGCUCAGCCACACUGAGAAGCUAGCGAUCACUUAUGGGUUGAUCCAUUCAGAUGCAAGCAGGGUACCCAUCAGGGUGAUCAAGAACACCAGGAUGUGCAAUGACUGCCACGAGGUGGCCAAGCAUAUCUCUGCUCUAUGUGACCGGCAGAUUAUUCUUCGAGAUGCCGAUAGGUUUCAUCAUUUUACAGGUGGAAAAUGCUCUUGCAAUGACUGCUGGUGAAUAAUGAAUGGCAUAUCAUGUGAAAGGUUGGAUUAUCCACUGUGAAUAGCAGAUUUAAGAAAGUAAUUCCAUUCAAUCAGGCCUGAGGGCUGAACUACAGGAGAGCUUUCAGAGAAACAAAGGACUGAGUGUCCAUGUGAACAAGGAGAACUUAUAUGCCUAAUGGGAACUGAGAGCAACAAAAUUCACUUGGGAAAAUCAGAUCUAAGUUGUACAGAAACCUGUCUCAGAUGUACUAGCCAGCUCUGUACAUGGCGAUGGUUGCACAUCAAGUGCACCGCCACUGACAUCUCGGCAUUUCCAUGGCCCGAUAGAUGCACUACCAUAGAGCUUUACAUUUGAGAGGCAUAUGCGACUGAAAACUGAGCUCCUAAUGCCCCUUAUCAGCCCAGCUUGCCGUAUGUUCUGACCCCAAACAUUCUUAAUCGUCACACUGUCGACAACAGGAAGCACAUUCGGGUUGUAGGAUGUAUCAGGGUGGCCCCCAACAUCACCGGCAAUCCUCAAACCAUAUCGAGCUCCAUUCAAGGUCACUUCAGAGACAGUAAUGUUCCGGAUGAAUCCUCCCCUUCCUGAGUUGGUCUUGAUAUGGAUCCCAACACCCAUGCUAAAGAAAUUCAGGUGCUCCACAAAGACGUUCUCCACGCCACCAGAGGUUUCGCUUCCAACUGCAAAGCCAGCAAAGGGGCCGGAUCCUGUUAUCCUCCGGAUGGUGAUGUCAGAGCUUGGACGAGCAAAAGCAAUGCCAUACUCAUCCCAGCCACUCUUGAUGGAAAUCAAGUCAUCUCCUGCAGAAAUAUAGGAGUCUUCGAUGCAGACAUUGUUGCUUGAAUCUGCAGUGUAAGAUGCAGAUGUAACUUCAUUUUUAUGCACACGCAAAUUUUGCUCAGAUUUACUAAGCGAGUGAAACAUCCAUUACCUA